rnacentral:rRNA from 1 species
UACAGAGGGUGCAAGCGUUAAUCGGAAUUACUGGGCGUAAAGCGCACGCAGGCGGUUGGUUAAGUCAGAUGUGAAAGCCCCGGGCUCAACCUGGGAAUUGCAUUUGAAACUGGCCAACUAGAGUACGUGAGAGGGGGGUAGAAUUCCAAGCGUAGCGGUGAAAUGCGUAGAGAUUUGGAGGAAUACCAGUGGCGAAGGCGGCCCCCUGGCACGAUACUGACGCUCAGGUGCGAAAGCGUGGGGAGCAAACAGG